UUGCGUCCACAUCAGGUCGAAACACCUCUUCCCAUAUGAUCACCGGAGUUAAGCAACGUCGAGCCUGGUUUGUACCUAGAUGACUGACCGCUUGAGAAUACCAGCUGCUGUAAG